rfam:Rhizoclosmatium globosum strain JEL800 BCR33scaffold_23, whole genome shotgun sequence.
GGGCAGAUGGCCGAGCGGUCUAAGGCGCUAGCUUCAGGUGCUAGUGUGGUAACACUCGUGGGUUCAAAUCCCACUCUGCUCA